rnacentral:lncRNA from 1 species
GAGUUAGAGAUAGAGCCCCAGAUUUUUCCCUAAAUCGGCACCACGCACGCCUGCACGCACCAGUCUACCUCUACCCAUCUGGCAACUACCGCCACUAUCGCAAAGGGCAAACGCUCAUAGGUUGCAGCAGCCAGCAGACGAUACUGCCACCGUGAGAGUCGAAAGGAGCAGGCGAGCGUCGGGCAGCACUCUAGUCUAAGCGUCCAGCAGGCAGCCUGCACUCAGUCUCCGCACCGCAGCCAGAAAGCUUUCCUUCUCGUGUCAAACUACCGAUUUUGAGGUUAAGCAAUUAGCAAACCCUUUGUGAAUUGUCACUUGUGAGUUCCUGUUCUUCCCCAGUUCCCCAAUUCCUUCUCGGCACAGUGUCAGUAUUCGGUCCUAAAUUUAAUGUCUAACUUGAUACAAUGAUAUUAAUUUGUAAAUUUGAGGAUAUGGGUUUUGAGUUUUGAACUGGAUAUCUGAAUCGGAGAAGGGAGAGCAAUUCUCAAUUUCUCAUCUUAAAGUUGAAUCACUUAUUUAUUAGUCGUUACUUCAAAAAUCAAGAAUUACACUAUUAGAGCAUAAACACCAUCUGUUAGAGGCUAUUACGGGAUGGAAGGAUCUACGAAUAAGUUGUAAUUUAGGAUAAUUCGCUGGUGAUUUCUGUGCUUUAUUUCGAAAGCCGAAAGUUGGGAAUUAAUUGCUUUCCAUUUAAAUAACAACUAAUAAAAUUAUGGGGCUUUAUUUCAAAAUACAUAUAUGUGAUUUAGGCAGUUAGCUUAGAAGUUAGAAUGUUAUUGGAUUUGCCACUGCUGCUAUUCCCCAUUGUAACCCUAUCAUGUUAAGGGCAUUUUGAUCACUUUCAAGUGUUAAAAACAAUGAAGAAGGCAUCAAAACUGAGUGUAUUCCCAACAUUGACAAAAGGGACGAUCAACCUAAUUUUUGAAAUCGAAUUUGGACUAUUUUACAUUAUUUCAGUAUCUGGUAUUAAACUAUAUUUUCAUAUGUAUAUAAUUUCUAGAUUUUAGUGUAUUUACAUAUAUAUCGAAUAAUUUUUAAUAUUAUUUAAUCUAAUUUUAAUAAACGGUCGGCUGCCGACCGGACCGGGAUUUUACGAUCGUUGAUUGUCGAUGGUCAAUAAUCAAAGUCAACCUCUGCCCUUGUUGAAUGUUGAUGCUAGAUUCGCCACUGCUUGCAUGCAUGGAUAUAAGAGUCUAGAAAGGCACCUUGCGCCUUUCAGGUGUGUGCAACUUGUGUGCAGAGUUACCAUGCUCAGGUACAACUAAUAGAGUGAAAUUUCAAGGAUAGCAACCACUUUCAGUUCGUCUUCCGUUCUCUCAAUCUAAUUCUCCAUUUCUUCAAUCUUCUUAUCUAAAGUUACCAUGUCUUCAUUCUCACCAUUUUCCUCGUUACUAACUAUUUCGUGAUCAUAGCAGACACUAAGAGCACCAAUUGUAACCUCAUCUAGGAUAUUUGCUUCCUUUACCUCCUCGAGAGGUUUGUCCUCAACUCUCUCAAAGAUAUCAGAUAAAGGUAUUGGAUGGAUUUUCACAUUUCUUGAGUUAUCAGUUAUAUUUUUUAUUAUUGAUUAAGAAAGAACAUUUUUAUUAUUUGUCAAAUUUUUAAUUUCUAUUAUUCUUUUAUCCAAAAUGUAACUAUAUCUCCAUUAAUUAUAUCAAUUCAAGUAUUUUGACUACACCAUUUUGAUUAAAGUGACAUUUUUCUAUUUUUCCAUUGUUACACAAAGUUGUACAUUUUUGUCAACAAUAUUUAUAUUGUCAUCUAUGUUAGAAAUUCGUUACCUUCAAUUUACCGGAUCUUUCAUGUUGGAUCAUCAAGAAAUUUUAGAUCUGUAGCGAAAGUGUACCUAAAUCAGAAUAGUCAUUGCAAUAAUUGAAUCAUGGGCUCGGUCUUUCAAAUCAACACGUAGUCUCUUUUUUCUUUGUGAUGAGAUGCAGAAGAGAACGAACCAUGCCUUUCAAUACCCUCUACGUGUGAUUCGGGGACCAUAACCAUUAUUUAUAUAUAGAUGCCCUUUUGACCUAAUUCGGCCCAUCAUGAAAUUAAGAAUUGAGCCCAAUCUCUAUACAUAUAUAAAUCCACACUUUAAUUGGAUGCAUUAAAGCUCAAAAUCGAAUCCUUAUUAGAUCACUUUAAAUGGGCUAAACCGAAUUCGAUAGCCUAUAAUUUAAUGCACAAUAAUUUAUACAUAUAAGCCCAUAGAAUUGAUUAAAAAAUCCUUACAAUCUCCCGCUUGGGCUAUAUGUGUCACCUUAUGACUAUGCAUUAAACAUAACCUUAUGAGUACUAAGUUCUUUGCUAUCAUUACUGAAUGCAUCCCCAAAUAAUCCUAUCCAUCAAUCAUAUCAACAUAGGAUCAAAGCGAUUUUCGUUACUUUCAUCGUAACUAAACCCUUCAAUGGUCACGUAUAUCAAUAUAACUGAAUGACAUGGAUUAAGCAUGGAUGUGUAGCAUAGAAAUUUCAUGCAAAGUGAUCUUAACAUGCCUAUUUCCAUCUGGUCCACCUUAAUACUUUAGUGAGAUCAUUUUCAAAUAAGUUCAGAGAUAAUAAAUCAAAACUUUAUAACUGAAAAUUUCUUUAACCUUAAACCAUAUCCAAAAUGACAGUAUAUGUGUCUAGCACAAAAAUGCAAACUCCCACUGAAACUAAAUAUCCUUAAGCUACAUUACACCCAUAUGAGCAGUGUGCUCAUGAAAGAUCUUGGGUAUCAAUUCCUUAGUGAGCGGAUCCGCAAUUAUGGAGUUUGUCUGAUGUGCUUUUUUGACACCUAUUUACUCUGAACUCAUUCUUUAACAGCCAGAAACUUGAUCUCUAUAUGUUUUGAUUUUGUCGAGCUCCUGUUGUUAUUGGAAUACAGCACUGCUGAUUUAUUGUCACAAAAUAUCUUAAGUGGUCUUUCUAUAUAGUCCACAAUGCGCAGCCCAGUGACAAAAUUACGUAGCCAUAUUCCAUGAUUUGAUACUUCAUAAAACGCUAUAAAUUUCGCUGCCAUGGUGGAAGUAGCUGUGAGUGUCUGCUUAGCACUCUUCUAGAAAAUAGCACCUUUAGCAAGCAGGUAAAUAUAGCCUGAAGUGGAUCUCCUAUUAUCUUGGCAUCCUACGAAAUCGGAAUCAGAAUAACCGACGAUCUCCAACUGAUCCGAUCUCCUGUAUGUGAGCAUAUAGUCUCUUGUUCUUUGUAAAUAUCGUAUAACCCGUUUGGCUGCUUUCCAACGAUCCAUUCUCGGGUCAUUUAUAUAUCUCCCUAGCAUCCAAAUAAUGUAAGCUAUAUCCGGAUGCGCACAAACCUAAGCAUACAUCAGAUCCCUACUGCUGAAGAAUAAGGAAUCUUCUGUAUUUCUUUACUUUCUAAGUCAUUUUGGGGCAUUGACUUAAAUUGUACUUGUCUCCUUUAGCCACAGGGGUGUCACCUGGUUUACAAUCUUGCAUGCCAUAUCUUUUGAGUAUCUUUUCGAUAUAGCUCUUUUGUGAAAAUUUAAGAAUACCCUGAGAAUGAUCUCGAUGUAUCUAAAUUCUAAUACAAAAGAGGCGUCACCACGAUUUUUCAUCUCAAAGUUCCUUAUUUGAAAUCUCUUAGUUUUAUACAAUAAGCCUAUAUCGUUGCUGGCAAGCAAUAUGUCAUCGACAUAUAAAAUCAGAAAAAUAUACUUACUCCCCUGAACUUAUGAUAUAUACAAUUAUCAACCAAAUUCAUCUCGAAACCAAAUGAGAUGAUCACUUGAUGAAACUUGUAAUAACAUUGACGAGCCGCCUGUUUGAGUUCAUAGAUGGAUUUCUUUAGUUUGCAAACCAUUUGCUUUGCAACAUCCGAUACAAAGUUUUCUGGUUGAACCAUACAAAUCGUUUCGUCAAUAUCACGGAUGAGUAAUGGUGUCUUGACAUUCAUCUAAUGUAACUCAAGAUCAAAGUGCUCUACCAAUGCCAUUAUAAUCCUAAAUGAGUCUUUCAAAGAAACCGAAGAGAAAGUCUCUUUAUAAUCGAUGUCUUCUUUCUGUGUAAAGUCUUUUGCAACAAAAAGAGACUUAUACUUCUCUACAUCACCUUUUGAAUCCUUCUUGAUCUUAAAUAUCCAUUUGUAACCAAUGGAUUUCACACCUUCAGGCAAUGGAACGAGAUCCCAUACAUCAUUGUCCUUCAUGGACUUUAUCUUUUCAUUCAUGAUAUUGAGCCACUUUUUAGGGUUAGAACUUUCCAUGACUUGAUGAAAGUUGAUCAUAUCACUUUCACUACUCCAAUUUCAACUUCAUGUUCUUGGAAAAGUACGAUAUAAUCAGCCAAAAUCGCACUUUUUCUCUCUCUAGUGGAUCUUCUUAAUGGCAUUUGUUCUUGAGGCUGUAGAGUUUGUUCUUCUGGAAUAAUUUGUUGACCUUGUGAGGGAGAUACAAAAAAUUUAUCUUUAACCCUUUCUUCACCCGCAAACUCGCCAUCCUCAAAGAACCGAACAUUUUCUAUCUCGAAAAUUGCCUUAGUUGUGGGAUUAUAAAACUUGUAACCCCUGGACCUGUUAGAAUAUCCAAUAAAAUAAUAAUUGAUAGUCCUUGCGUUCAAUUUCUUUUCAUUUAGCCUAUAAGGCAUUACCUCAACUGGACAUCCCCAAAUGUUGUAGGUUUCUUGCCGUCCAAAGCUUACAAGGGGUUUUAUCAGUGGCCUUAGUUGGAACUCUGUUGAGUAUAUACGCUGCAGUCUUUAAUGCUUCACCUCAAAUAGAAUGACUAAUCAAACUCCUUAUCAUGUCCUUAAGCGUUCUAUUAAAUCUCUCAACAACACCAUCCAUAGUGGGCAAACUUGACAUAGUGUACUGUGAGACGAUACCGCAUUUCUCUAGGAAUUUAGCAAAUGGCCUUGGAAAUUGUUCUCCUGAACCGUCAUAUCUGCCAGAGUAUUCACCAACGGUCAGAUCUGACACUUUUAAUCCUUUUGUCGAGUUGAUUUUCAGUUUCAGCUUCAUAGUCCUUAAACAUAUCUAGGGACUGUGAUUUUUCAUGAAUGAGAUAUACAUAAUCAUAUCUUGAAAGUCGUCUAUGAACAUUAUAAAAUAUUGUUGACCAUUCCAAGAACCCGUAAAGAAUAGUCCACAAAUAUUCGUAUCUAUAAGUUCUAAGACAUCCGAAGUUGGCUUGAAAUUUCCUUUUAUUAGUUUAUUUUUGUUUUCGCUUUACACUUCGAGUACUUACAUGCAAGAAUUUAUUAAAAGAAGCAAUUGUAUCAAUUAAAUAUAGAUUAUCGUAACCUGAUAAAGAACCAGAACCAACUAAUUUUGAAUCAUGAAACAAACUGAAUUUUUCAUUUUCAAAUGAACAAGAAUAACUGGAUUUGUCCAAAGCAGAAAUGGAAAUCAAAUUUUGUAGAUAAGACGGUACAAUAAAUGUUUCAUCAAGAUCCAAAUAAAUCCAGUCUUUAAUAAUAAUGUAAAUUUUCCAAUUGCCUCUACUUUCACCGUCAUGCCGAACCAACAUAGAUGUAUAUUUCACCAUCACUUGGUUUUCGACAACUCAAGCAAUCUUGCACAGAUACACUGAUGUGAGUUGUACUAGAAUAUAUCCACCAUAUAUGUUUAGGUACCGAAGUUAAAUUAACCUUAAAACAAACCAAUCGAAGAAGAAUACCUUUCAUCACAUGCCAUACGUGAUAGUUGGUACAAUUCUUCUUCUUAUGACCUGCAAUUCCACAAAAGAAACAACCAUACUCAAUUUGUUCCUUAUGCUAUUUCUUUUGUGGUGCUGUGCCCGCAGCUUCCUUAUUAGUUUUCCUUUUUCUUUAUAUUUCAUUGAAGUAAGGUUUGCUAAAAGUGUACUAGUUUCAGCCUUUUCAUUUAUUGCAAGCCUCUUCUCAAGAUCCUUAAGGAUAACCUUAGCCGUGUUUAUUUCAUUAGAUAUAGUACCCCGAAGUGGUUCUGGAAUAUCAAGUUUCAUAGUCUCUUAGAUUUCAUUAGACUACUUAGAUUUCAUUAAUCUCACAGGGAGUACUUAGACUACUUAGCUAUCUGGUGAAGUAAGUUUGCAUGUUCAUUUUAUUAGUUAUUUAGCUUUUUACCUCUCAUUUUAGACAAUUUAUCAAUAAUUUUUGUUUGUCUUGAUCUCCAGAUGGUGAGAGAAAUGCUAAAAGAUGUGCGCAGAAGUGUACAAUUAAUGGGGGAUCCUGUGAUUCAGUUGAGGCAUAACCCGCGAUUUACCCCCUCUAAGGUUCCCCCUCUAAGGUUCUAGGGGCAUGAGUCUUAAAGGUCCAGGAUUUAGUUUGGUGUAAGUUGGGACACCUGGAUAUCAAAAAAUUAAAAAAAAAAUGCUAAAAGACAAAAGACUUCAUAUGAGGAUGUGAAUGCUGAUAUAUUAGGUUCAUCGACUCACAAACAUGCCAAGACCUGAUGGUGCCACUGUGAUGUCCUAUAUUGAUGAUCAAUGGGUGGAAUGAAACAGUAACUAAACACAUAUACAUUUGGUAUUCUGUCUUGUCAAAAACUGUUAUCUAUGUUUUCUUUUAGGAUUGUGUGUUUAAAUUGUUAGCUGGAAUACGGACAAUAUAUGCUAAUGUUGUUUAAUUUAUUCCUGGUUAAUGUGUCUUGAUAUAUAGCCCCUGUUUGAUCCCCAUUACGUAGAAAAAUUAAUGGGGGGAAUAGUAUUUUUUUUAAAAAAUGAGUAGUUGAAAAAGAAUGAAAAGUUUUCGAUUUACGUGUAAUAUUAUUUUAUGAAAGAUUGUGUGGUUGAAAAUAGGAGAGAGAAAAAUGAAAUGUAAAUGAAUUUAAUGUAAUGGGGCUCAAACGGGGGCACAGAUUUUGUAGACAGACAUUUGGGUUGUCCUAAUCCAAUAUGAAUAUUAG